GGAGAGAUGGCCGAGCGGUCCAAGGCGCCAGACUAAGGUUCGGGAGCGUGGGUUCGAAUCCCACUUUCUUCA
rnacentral:tRNA from 1 species